GGAGAAGGAGUCUCACCGUUACCCAGGAGGUAAUGACCCUGUCUCUCAGGGGGAAAAAAAAAAAGUUUAAAUAUAGCUCACUGGCCAGCCAUUCUCUCCUCUAGGGAAGGUGAGGAUCUAAACCUGAUGGGCUCCUGAAACUAGGGCUUCCCAGCUUAGGUUUGCAGGUUCAAGGGUAGUAUAGGUCUAUCCUUCUUCCUUCCUUCUCUUCUCACUUUGGACUCGCAGUCCAGAAACCCAGCAAAUUCUCAUGUAAGAUAGAAAGAUUUUCUUUAUUAAUGACCCCAACCGUAUUUCUUUAGAUACAGGAGUUUUGAACUCAAAUACUUAGGAGAAAACAAGUUAUGACUGCAUUAUCCUGCAACUCAUUACCAGUAAUAUAUUGCAAAGCGAAACAGCUUGGAAAAGAGGGUGG
rnacentral:lncRNA from 10 species